CCUACGGGAGGCAGCAGUGGGGAAUUUUGGACAAUGGGCGCAAGCCUGAUCCAGCCAUGCCGCGUGCGGGAAGAAGGCCUUCGGGUUGUAAACCGCUUUUGUCAGGGAAGAAAAGGUUCUGGAUAAUACCUGGGACUCAUGACGGUACCUGAAGAAUAAGCACCGGCUAACUACGUGCCAGCAGCCGCGGUAAUACGUAGGGUGCAAGCGUUAAUCGGAAUUACUGGGCGUAAAGCGUGCGCAGGCGGUUAUGCAAGACAGAGGUGAAAUCCCCGGGCUCAACCUGGGAACUGCCUUUGUGACUGCAUAGCUAGAGUACGGUAGAGGGGGAUGGAAUUCCGCGUGUAGCAGUGAAUGCGUAGAUAUGCGGAGGAACACCGAUGGCGAAGGCAAUCCCCUGGACCUGUACUGACGCUCAUGCACGAAAGCGUGGGGAGCAAACAGGAUUAGAUACCCUGGUAGUCCACGCCCUAAACGAUGUCAACUGGUUGUUGGGAGGGUUUCUUCUCAGUAACGAAGCUAACGCGUGAAGUUGACCGCCUGGGGAGUACGGCCGCAGGUUGAACUCAAAGGAAUUGACGG
rnacentral:rRNA from 1 species